rnacentral:rRNA from 1 species
UUUUGUAGAACGGGCCAACGAGUUACGUUAUGCAGCAAGGUUAAGGUGUUAAGCACCGGAGCCGAAGCGAAAGCGAGUCUGAAGAGGGCGUAGAGUUGUAUGGCGUAGACCCGAAACCGGGUGACCUAUCCAUGAGCAGGGUGAAGCUGAAGUAAAAUUCAGUGGAGGCCCGAACCCAUAUCUGUUGAAAAAGGUUGGGAUGACUUGUGGAUAGCGGAGAAAUUCCAAUCGAACUCGGAGAUAGCUGGUUCUCCCCGAAAUAGCUUUAGGGCUAGCCUUGAUGUGAGUGACGCGGGGGUAGAGCACUGACUGUCCUAGGGGCUUCACCGCCUACCGAAGACUAUCAAACUCCGAAUACCGCAGUCAUAUAAUCAGGAGUCAGACUAUGUAUGAUAAGAUUCAUGGUCAAGAGGGAAACAGCCCAGACCGUCAGCUAAGGUCCCAAAGUCCAAGUUAAGUGGGAAAGGAUGUGGGGUUGCAUAGACAACUAGGAUGUUGGCUUAGAAGCAGCCAUUCAUUUAAAGAGUGCGUAAUAGCUCACUAGUCGAGUGACCCUGCGCCGAAAAUUACCGGGGCUCAAACUUGGCACCGAAGCUACGGCAAUAACGUAAGUUAUUGGGUAGGGGAGCAUUGUAUACGGGCAGAAGCUAUACCGUAAGGAGUGGUGGACUGUAUACAAGAGAGAAUGUUGGCAUGAGUAGCGAGAGGCAGGUGAGAAUCCUGCCCGCCGAAAACCUAAGGUUUCCUGGGGAAGGUUCGUCCGCCCAGGGUUAGUCAGGACCUAAGCCGAGGACGAGAGUCGUAGGCGAUGGACAACUGGUUAAGAUUCCAGUACCACCGAUCAUCGUUUGAGAGAUGGAGUGACAGGGAAUGCAAAGUGAUCGCACUGAUGGAUGUGCGUCCAAGCGUCAAGUGAGAAGAAUUAGGUAAAUCCGGUUCUUUAAUUGCGAGGCGUGAUGGGGAGUGAAAAAUAAGUAGCGAAGUCACCGGAGAGUCCUUCAAGAAAAGCUUCUAUCGAGAUGUUAGGUGCCUGUACCGUAAACCGACACAGGUAGGUGAGUAGAGAAUACUAAGGCGAGCGAGAUAACCAUUGUUAAGGAACUCGGCAAAAUGACCCCGUAACUUCGGGAGAAGGGGUGCCGCAUUAGGGUGAAUAGCCCGAAGCGGCCGCAGAGAACAGGUCCAAGCAACUGUUUACCAAAAACACAGGUCUCUGCUAAGUCGUAAGACGAUGUAUAGGGGCUGACGCCUGCCCGGUGCUGGAAGGUUAUGAGGAGAGGUUAGCGUAAGCGAAGCUUUGAAUCGAAGCCCCAGUAAACGGCGGCCGUAACUAUAACGGUCCUAAGGUAGCGAAAUUCCUUGUCGGGUAAGUUCCGACCCGCACGAAAGGCGUAAUGAUUUGGACACUGUCUCAACAAUGGACUCGGUGAAAUUGUAGUACCGGUAAAGAUGCCGGUUACCCGCAGCAGGACGGAAAGACCCCGUGGAGCUUUACUGUAGCUUGGCACUGGAUUUUGGUAUAGCAUGUACAGGAUAGGUGGGAGACUAAGAAGUAUGCACGCUAGUGUGUAUGGAGUCAAUGUUGGGAUACCACCCUUGCUAUAUCAGUGUCCUAACCGUGCGCUGUUAUCCAGCGUC